rnacentral:rRNA from 1 species
GACGAACGCUGGCGGCGUGCCUAACACAUGCAAGUCGAACGGAAAGGCCUCUUUCGGGGGGUCCUCGAUUGGCGAACGGGUGAGUAAUACGUGUGUAACCUGCCUUUCACUUUGGGAUAACUUCAGGAAACUGGGGCUAAUACCGGACCGGAGCUCCUGCGGCAUGGUGGGGGCUGGAGAGUUUCGGCUGUUGGGGUUGGAGACGCGGCUGAUCAGCUUGUUGGUGGGGUAGUGGCUUACCAAGGCUUUGGCGGGUAGCCGGCCUGGGAGCGUGACCGGCCUCAUUGAGACUGAGAUACGGCCCCGGCUCCGACGGGUGGGAGAGGUGGGAAAGAUUGAUCAAUGAGUGGGGGCCUGAUGCAGAACCGCCGAGGGCGGGAGAGCGAUGUUCGGGUUGUAGACGGCAUGCGCUCUUAACGGGGCUGUGUAUGACGGUACUGGGUGAAGAAGCACCGGCUAACUACGUG